ensembl:lncRNA
CCCCACGACCCGCACAAGGAGUUUGCCGCGGUGGCCCGAGCCUCAGGCCUCCGGGGCCGGUCCUGCUGGACGGCGUCGAGCACGCGGCCCGCCGGCCUCUGCUUGCACACCUUGAGCCUUUCCAGGUAUUGCAGGUGCAGAGCUCAGGAGACCUGUUGGGCACCGGCGUGGUGGCCACUCAUCCCUUCCUGCAUGCGGGAGACAAGGCCUGCGACCACGUGUCCAAAAUGCUGUCCCAGGGUCUCUGAAGACCUGUCUACGCCGUGCCUCCGUUCGUGCUGGUGGAACCCUGGCACCGAGACCUCGUGUACUUGGCGGCAGGCAGCACCCGCGGCCGACGCUUGUAGGAGAGGCGGCACCGAAGGGAUGUUCUGACUGAGGAAGCUGUGGACCCUCCCAUGGAAUCUCAUUCCCUCCUAGCAUCUUCCUUGAUGAUUCCACUCCAGUUCCCAGUCUCCUGUAAUGACAACACUUCCUUUAACAGGACCACAUGUCACCUUUGCAAAGUGCAAGACUGUGUGUACCCAGCACGCAAGCCACAUUUGAGUCCAAGACCAUGUCCAGUUCCCAAAUGGUGCCUCUGAGGGACUCCAGAGCAGUGUCCAGCUCUCAAACUAAGGGAACCUGGUGUGAUCCCUGGUCAGUGAACUAGAUCCAGCAUACCACAACGAAGAGUUUGCAUGCUGCAGUGAAGAUCAAACAUACCACCUACCACAACUAAGACCCAGAACAGCUAAACAAAUAAUUUUAAAAAAAACC